GCCUUGAUGUGUAGGAUAGGUGGGAGGCUUUGAAGUGUGGACGCCAGUCUGCAUGGAGCCGACCUUGAAAUACCACCCUUUAAUGUUUGAUGUUCUAACGUUGACCCGUAAUCCGGGUUGCGGACAGUGUCUGGUGGGUAGUUUGACUGGGGCGGUCUCCUCCUAAAGAGUAACGGAGGAGCACGAAGGUUGGCUAAUCCUGGUCGGACAUCAGGAGGUUAGUGCAAUGGCAUAAGCCAGCUUGACUGCGAGCGUGACGGCGCGAGCAGGUGCGAAAGCAGGUCAUAGUGAUCCGGUGGUUCUGAAUGGAAGGGCCAUCGCUCAACGGAUAAAAGGUACUCCGGGGAUAACAGGCUGAUACCGCCCAAGAGUUCAUAUCGACGGCGGUGUUUGGCACCUCGAUGUCGGCUCAUCACAUCCUGGGGCUGAAGUAGGUCCCAAGGGUAUGGCUGUUCGCCAUUUAAAGUGGUACGCGAGCUGGGUUUAGAACGUCGUGAGACAGUUCGGUCCCUAUCUGCCGUGGGCGCUGGAGAACUGAGGGGGGCUGCUCCUAGUACGAGAGGACCGGAGUGGACGCAUCACUGGUGUUCGGGUUGUCAUGCCAAUGGCACUGCCCGGUAGCUAAAUGCGGAAGAGAUAAGUGCUGAAAGCAUCUAAGCACGAAACUUGCC
rnacentral:rRNA from 1 species